rnacentral:ncRNA from 1 species
UAACUGUUCCUAUCACUGUGAAGCAGAACUCACCAAGUGUUGGAUUGUUCACCCACUAACAGGGAACGUGAGCUGGGAUUAGACUGUCAUGAGACAGGUU